UUAUCGAUAUCAUCUACUAAUUAAACCAUUUUAGAAACGGCUAGUCAUCAUCAGUUAUCGACAACUACGUCAACAAAGAGCAAUGACAUCUGGCUAAGGUUCUCUCUGGCAAAAUUUAUGGUAAAACUAAUGAAGUAAAAGAUUUUAUAUCA